UCAAACAUCGAAAGAGAAAACCCUUUUUUUUAUUUGCCGUACCACGAGGCCUGUCCCUGGCCCAAGCCCAAGCGAGAUCCGACGACGGCCGAGCGAGCCGAUCCCCAAUCCGGGAGAACGCCGGCGAUUCCGUCCAUCCUCCGUCGCUCCAUAGCCGUACGAUCCACAUAGUGCCGCGGCGGAGUGGCCAGCCGGCCGGCCGGCCGGGGGACUGGCAACGAGAGAGGAUGAGGGAGAAUCAGCAAACAGAUCGAGGGGCUCGGCUGGCUAGCGCCGGUCGAAUAGGAAGCCUGAAUAAGGUACCUGACUGUCAGAUAGGAAGCCUGAACAUGUACUACUUGACUGUCAGAUAGCAAGGUAGCAUCUUCCUACUGGAGCGCUCUAGCAGCAAGCACUUCUAUCAUCGGCAAAAACCGACUCCGCAUUCGACAGUUGCUUUUAAUGAAAACUCCCCUGUGGGUAUUUGUGCUCUGAAGCACCAAACUAGUCC